rnacentral:rRNA from 1 species
GACGAACGCUGGCGGCGUGCUUAACACAUGCAAGUCGAACGGAAAGGCCCUGCUUUUGUGGGGUGCUCGAGUGGCGAACGGGUGAGUAACACGUGAGUAACCUGCCCUUGACUUUGGGAUAACUUCAGGAAACUGGGGAUAAUAUCGGAUAGGAGCUCCUGCUGCAUGGUGGGGGAUGGAAAGUUUCGGCGGUUGGGGAUGGACUCGCGGCUUAUCAGCUUGUUGGUGGGGUAGUGGAUUACCAAGGCUUUGACGGGUAGCCGGCCUGAGAGGGUGAACAGGGACAUGGGGCCUGAGAGAGGGAGCAGAGGGCAACGGGAGGCAGCAGGGGGGAGUAUGGCACAGUGGGCGGACGCCUGAGGCGACGGCGCCGCGUGCGGGAAGACGGCCUUUGGGGUAUAAACCGCUUUCGCCUGAGACGAGGCGUGAGUGACGGUAAUGGGUAAAGAAGCACCGGCUAACUACGUG